CUUCAUUUGUGGUUGAGACCAAACACACCUCACCAUGUCCUGGUGUGCCACGCUUAGCCUGCUCUUCAUGGUGUGGUGUGCAGGAACACUGUCUCAGCCCACCCUGACCCAGCCACCCUCGGCCUCCGUGUCUCUGGGGGAGACAGUGAAACUCUCCUGUGUCAUGAGCAGUGAAGCCAACAUUGGUGGUUAUUAUGUGUAUUGGUACCAGCAGAAACCUGGGAGUGCUCCACGGUACCUCUUACGGUUUUACUCAGAUUCUAGCAAGCACCAAGGCUCUGGGGUUCCCUCUCGUUUCUCUGGGUCCAAAGAUACCUCCAGUAACACUGGCUAUUUAAACAUUGCGGGAACCCUGGCUGAAGACGAAGCUGAUUAUUACUGUGCUGUGUGGCACAACAAUGCGUGUCACGGUGGUGCACCCUGA